GAUUAUUUAUAUUUAUUUUGGUUCAGAAAAAUCAAGCGUAGCGUUAGUUCUGGUAGGUCACAUUAGUCAAGCUCACAUCAUCUGACUCUCAGCUGAUCCACGUCUACCUACAGGGAUUCGACACCUAUCACAGCAUCCAUAUAUAAGGUCCUUCAGUAUUAUCAGCAGCUUUCGUGUUGCUCAAUAGUUAAUUACCCUCCUCCGUCCCUAACUCCACCUCUCGUCCAGUCAGGAUUCA